CGUAUCAUUGUGCCUCGCAUUUCAGCGGGGCGAUAAGUCCUAACGAAAGGGAUGAUAUGAC
rfam:Bifidobacterium saguini DSM 23967 Contig06, whole genome shotgun sequence.